UACGAAGGGGGCUAGCGUUGCUCGGAAUCACUGGGUGUAAAGCGCACGUAGGCGGAUCUUUAAGUCAGGGGUGAAAUCCCAAGGCUCAACCUUGGAACUGCCUUUGAUACUGGGGAUCUCGAGUCCGGAAGAGGUUGGUGGAACUCCGAGUGUAGAGGUGAAAUUCGUAGAUAUUCGGAAGAACACCAGUGGCGAAGGCGGCCAACUGGUCCGGCACUGACGCUGAGGUGCGAAAGCGUGGGGAGCAAACAGG
rnacentral:rRNA from 1 species